rnacentral:rRNA from 1 species
UACGUAGGGGGCAAGCGUUGUCCGGAAUCAUUGGGCGUAAAGAGCGCGUAGGCGGUCCGGUAAGUCCGCUCUGAAAGCCCGGGGCUCAACCCCGGGAGGCGGGCGGAUACUGCCGGGCUAGAGUCCGGAAGAGGCGAGUGGAAUUCCUGGUGUAGCGGUGAAAUGCGCAGAUAUCAGGAAGAACACCCGUGGCUAAGGCGGCUCUCUAGUACGGUACUGACGCUGAGACGCGAAAGCGUGGGGAGCGAACAGG